rnacentral:rRNA from 1 species
AACGCGAAGAACCUUACCUACUCUUGACAUCCUGCGAACUUGGUAGAGAUACCUUGGUGCCUUCGGGAACGCAGUGACAGGUGCUGCAUGGCUGUCGUCAGCUCGUGUUGUGAAAUGUUGGGUUAAGUCCCGUAACGAGCGCAACCCUUGUCCUUAGUUGCCAUCAUUUAGUUGGGCACUCUAAGGAGACUGCCGGUGACAAACCGGAGGAAGGUGGGGACGACGUCAAGUCAUCAUGGCCCUUACGACCAGGGCUACACACGUGCUACAAUGGAGCGUACAAAGGGUUGCGAAGCCGCGAGGUGGAGCUAAUCCCAUAAAACGUUUCGUAGUCCGGAUUGGAGUCUGCAACUCGGCUCCAUGAAGUCGGAAUCGCUAGUAAUCGUGGAUCAGAAUGCCACGGUGAAUACGUUCCCGGGGUCUGUACACACCG